rnacentral:rRNA from 1 species
CGGCGGACGGGCGAGUAAUGCCUAGGAAUCUGCCUGGUAGUGGGGGACAACGUUUCGAAAGGAACGCUAAUACCGCAUACGUCCUACGGGAGAAAGCAGGGGACCUUCGGGCCUUGCGCUAUCAGAUGAGCCUAGGUCGGAUUAGCUAGUUGGUGAGGUAAUGGCUCACCAAGGCGACGAUCCGUAACUGGUCUGAGAGGAUGAUCAGUCACACUGGAACUGAGACACGGUCCAGACUCCUACGGGAGGCAGCAGGC